UACGAAGGGGGCUAGCGUUGCUCGGAAUCACUGGGCGUAAAGGGUGCGUAGGCGGGUUUUUAAGUCAGGGGUGAAAUCCUGGAGCUCAACUCCAGAACUGCCCUUGAUACUGAGGAUCUUGAGUUCGGGAGAGGUGAGUGGAACUGCGAGUGUAGAGGUGAAAUUCGUAGAUAUUCGCAAGAACACCAGUGGCGAAGGCGGCUCACUGGCCCGAUACUGACGCUGAGGCACGAAAGCGUGGGGAGCAAACAGG
rnacentral:rRNA from 1 species